rnacentral:rRNA from 1 species
CUGCUGGACCGUAACUGACGUUGAUGCUCGAAAGUGUGGGUAUCAAACAGGAUUAGAUACCCUGGUAGUCCACACGGUAAACGAUGGAUACUCGCUGUUGGCGAUAUACAGUCAGCGGCCAAGCGAAAGCAUUAAGUAUCCCACCUGGGGAGUACGCCGGCAACGGUGAAACUCAAAGGAAUUGACGGGGGCCCGCACAAGCGGAGGAACAUGUGG